UCGAGAAUUUUUCACAAUGGGCGCAAGCCUGAUGGAGCGACGCCGCGUGGGGGAUGAAGGGCUUCGGCUCGUAAACCCCUGUCAUUUGUGACCAAGGCUGCCGGUUGAAUAGAUCGGCAGUUUGAUGGUAGCGAAAGAGGAAGGGACGGCUAACUCUGUGCCAGCAGCCGCGGUAAUACAGAGGUCCCAAGCGUUGUUCGGAUUCACUGGGCGUAAAGGGUGCGUAGGUGGUUAGGUAAGUCUGAUGUGAAAUCUCCGAGCUUAACUCGGAAACUGCAUCGGAAACUACCUGGCUAGAGGAUUGGAGGGGAGACUGGAAUUCUCGGUGUAGCAGUGAAAUGCGUAGAUAUCGAGAGGAACACCGGUGGCGAAGGCGAGUCUCUGGACAAUUCCUGACACUGAGGCACGAAAGCUAGGGGAGCAAACAGGAUUAGAUACCCUGGUAGUCCUAGCUGUAAACGGUGCACGUUUGCUGUAAUCGGAAUCGA
rnacentral:rRNA from 1 species